rnacentral:rRNA from 1 species
AUACAGAGGGUGCAAGCGUUAAUCGGAUUUACUGGGCGUAAAGCGCGCGUAGGUGGCUAAUUAAGUCAAAUGUGAAAUCCCCGAGCUUAACUUGGGAAUUGCAUUCGAUACUGGUUAGCUAGAGUAUGGGAGAGGAUGGUAGAAUUCCAGGUGUAGCGGUGAAAUGCGUAGAGAUCUGGAGGAAUACCGAUGGCGAAGGCAGCCAUCUGGCCUAAUACUGACACGGAGGUGCGAAAGCAUGGGGAGCAAACAGGAUUAGAUACCCUGGGAGUCCAUGCCGUAAACGAUGUCUACUAGCCGUUGGGGCCCUUGAGGCUUUAGUGGCGCAGCUAACGCGAUAAGUAGACCGCCUGGGGAGUACGGUCGCAAGACUAAAACUCAAAUGAAUUGACGGGG